rnacentral:rRNA from 1 species
UCAAUUGUCUAUUAAUUUUAGACUAGAAUGAAUGGAUUAACGAAAGCCGAACUGUCUCCUACUUCCUAUCAAUGAAAUUAACCUCUCUGUCCAAAGGCAGAGAUUAACCUAUAAGACGAAAAGACCCUAAAAGCUUCAAAUAUUAGAUUACCUAGCUUAAACAACAACUAAAGAAAAGUUUUAAUUCCUAAAAUUUGGUUGGGGCAACCAUUGAUAUUAAAGAAUCAUCAAUAAUUUAACUAAUAACUUGCAUAAUAUCAGAGUUACAUCUCAAUUAAGUAAGAAACUUAUAAAAAUGACCCAGAAAACUGAUCAAUGAACAAGUUACUUUAGGGAUAACAGCGCUAUUUCUUUUUAAAGUUCCCAUCGACAAAGAAGCUUACGACCUCGAUGUUGGAUUAAGAUAUCCAAGUGGUGCAAAAGCUACUAA